rnacentral:rRNA from 1 species
CUUUACACAUGCAAGUCGAACGGUAACAGGUUAAGCUGACGAGUGGCGAACGGGUGAGUAAUGCAUCGGAACGUCGCCCGAUCGGUGGGGGAAUAACGCAGACGAAAGCUGCGCUAAUACCGCAUACGAUCUGAGGAUNAAAGCGGGGGACCGUAAGGCCUCGCGCGAUCGGAGCGGCCGAUGUCAGAUUAGGUAGUUGGUGGGGUAAAGGCUCACCAAGCCGACGAUCUGUAGCUGGUCUGAGAGGACGACCAGCCACACUGGGACUGAGACACGGCCCAGACUCCUACGGGAGGCAGCAGUGGGGAAUUUUGGACAAUGGGCGCAAGCCUGAUCCAGCAAUGCCGCGUGCAGGAAGAAGGCCUUCGGGUUGUAAACUGCUUUUGUACGGAGCGAAAAGGCUCUCUCUAAUACAGGGGGCUCAUGACGGUACCGUAAGAAUAAGCACCGGCUAACUACGUG